rnacentral:rRNA from 1 species
AUUGAACGCUGGCGGCGUGCUUAACACAUGCAAGUCGAUCGGUAACGCGGGGGCAACCCUGGCGACGAGAGGCGGACGGGUGAGGAACGCUUGGGAAUCUGCCCUUCAGCGGGGGACAACACGGGGAAACUCGUGCUAAUACCGCAUACGCUCCACGGAGGAAAGCCGGGGACCGCAAGGCCUGGCACUGAAGGAUGAGCCCAAGUCGGAUUAGCUAGUUGGCGGGGUAACGGCCCACCAAGGCGACGAUCUGUAGCGGGUCUGAGAGGACGAGCAGCCACACUGGGACUGAGACACGGCCCAGCCUCCUACGGGAGGCAGCAGUGGGGAAUAUUGGACAAUGGGGGAACCCCUGAUCCAGCGACGCCGCGUGGGUGAAGAAGGCCUGCGGGUUGUAAAGCCCUUUCGGUAGGGACGAAAGCUCUCGACCUAACACGUCGGGAGGUUGACUUAACCUACAAAAGAAGCACCGGCUAACUCUGUGCCAGCCGCCGCGGUAAUAC